rnacentral:rRNA from 1 species
UACAGAGGGUGCGAGCGUUAAUCGGAAUUACUGGGCGUAAAGCGCACGUAGUCGGCUUUGCAAGUCGGUUGUGAAAUCCCCGGGCUCAACCUGGGAAUUGCAUCCGAGACUGCAUUGCUAGAGUAUGGGAGAGGGAAGCGGAAUUUCUGGUGUAGCAGUGAAAUGCGUAGAUAUCAGAAGGAACAUCAGUGGCGAAGGCGGCAUCCUGGACCGAUAUUGACGCUGAUGCGCGAAAGCCAGGGGAGCAAACGGG